rnacentral:lncRNA from 1 species
ACGCAGCCCAGCUCUGGCACUGGGCCCUGAACAGAGUCAGCCACCAAACUUUUGGAAAAGCUUGUCACUUCCUGAUAAAAACAGACAGAUGCAGCUGACACCAACUCCCCCUCCUCUCUCACUGCCUUCAACACAGAUGUGGUGCAGCUGUGGCCAGCCCUUUUGCAUGAUGGGGCAACAGAAAAAAUGCUGAGGAUGGCAGAGCAGAAAGAAGAGAGAACCUGGCUCUCAGUAACAUCCCAAGCCGCUGCACCAGCGCCUGGAAGCAAGUACCUACCUUCAGUGCCUUGCUAUUAAGGAAACAGAAAGCUGUUUAAGUCCUUGUUAGGUGUUUGCAGAUGCAAUCAAGAGAAGAUGGGAUCAACAGGGUUGGCCCUAAUCCAACACGACUGAUGUCCUUGUGAGAAGAGAUGCACCCCCAGCGCAGAGACAGAGAAGACAGCCACAUGAAGAUGCAGGCAGAUAUUAGAGAGAAUCAUCUACCUGUAUUCUGCGCAUUGAACCUGCCCUUUACCUGCGGCUUGCCCACUCAGAUCCUGAGGUUCCUGCCUGCUUCUGUCCUUGGAUAAAUGGGAACUCUUACUCUCAUAUCUGGCCACUUUCACCCCUACACAUGGUAACAAGAAGGAAGUAAAGAGAGCAACUGGAGGGGAAGGAGGAGGACAGAAGCUGAAACACAGAUGGUUUCUUAGGGUCUCACGAUGGAUUAAAUAAAGAGAUUUCUUUUUCUUUUUCCUAAUACACCUGGCCCUAUCCACCACUCUGCCGGCCACCAAUGACCAGACUGGCUCAGUUUUCAGGGCCUUGGAUAGUGCUUCAUUGAGACAAGAAGAAGAGAGAAGGACCUGCAAUCUGUGAGUGAGAUCUGUGAGCAUACAGCCAGCCCCAUCCCAUCCACACUAGGGAUUACAAUCACUUACUUCUGCCAAGUGAUUAGAAGGAAAUGCAAGUGUUUUAGUCAAGAGAGUUCAGAUCUAAGGUGCCAACUCAGAAAGUCUCCUGGAAGCUUUUUGGAUGCCACUGCCCUAGACUACAAAGCUCCAGUGCAUACGCUAUCAAAAUUCGCCAUGUGGCAAUCGGGUUCGCCAGAAAACUCACAGAAGGACCCAGGUGCUUCCUGACAUUCUCCAUCCGUCAAGGAGCCAGCCCCAAGGUCUCUGGAAGCCCGCACCCUUCCCAAAGCAAAGGCUCCCUUGGAGCACACAGCCUGUGUUAUGCUUGUGAGCGCACAACUGGCACCACAGACCACGGGCACGUAAGUUACUCAGAAAACGGAUUCCUCAGAGACAGAGAACACAGUGAACACAAAGGAUGGCUCCUCACACACUUCACAGCACACUUAGCAGCUGCACUGCUUCAACUCCUAUACAGGAAGAACCACAAGAAUCUAUGGCCCUGGGGCCCUACCUGGCAAGUUCCUCCAAGGCACUGGCGAAAGCAUCCCAGUGUUUUAUGAGAGGCCCGCACUCGCAAGGGAGAUGGAGGCCCCUCCUCUGCUGCUCCUGAGGGUUCAUCCAACAGCCCUGUCUCCUCAGCAUCCUCCAGAACAAAUCCUGCCUGUCCUGGGUCUUUGCCCUGCUCUGGGACAGCUCAGAGCACCCCCUUCUCUACACUCCCCAGCUCUCCAAAGCCCACCUAUGCUGACUCCCAUUUCCACAAUCGCUUCCUCACCAGACUCCCAGGACACGCGCUCGGAUGGGCACAUUCAGGAGCUUGGUCCUAACCAUUCCACAUGAUGCAUCUCCCUUCACAUCACAGGCAAAGGCCACGUCCUAUAUGCUUCCCGUGCAUCGCACAGUGCCUCGGGCCCCCCAGCAACACAGCCAUGGAAGUCUCGCCAGCUGUUACUCUGGAUCUCACUUACGUGGUGUCUACACAACCACGGUACCCAGGAUUCUCUCUCUGCAUUCCAGGCCACCAGGCUACAUUCUACCAUCCUCACUCUUAAACCCAAGCCAAUAUUCCCAUCUGACUUCUCAGGGUCUUAAGGUGUAUUGUUCUGUGACCUGACCUAAAGAGAGAACCUGGUUUACUCGGAUCAUGAUGGAAUACAGAAUUUACACUCGAAUUCCAUUUCUUCAUUCAUAAUCUGUUCCAGGCUUCCCUCUUGAACCAGGUUUCUCUAUCUUGUAUUCAAUCACUUAACAACAAUCCAUUCAGAAAGAGCAUGAUAGGCACUGAGAGAAUGUAAAAAUGAGUAAGUUCCUACCUGUGCAGAGAUUAUAAUUUAGCAGAGGAAAUAGGAUGGUUACAUAAAUCACUAAAAUUGGAUUAGAGAGUUUUAAACGCAACUACAGGUUCUGAAAAAAAAAAAAAAAAGUUGCUAUGGAAGCACCUGGUGGGGAAAACAUUUGUGCCUGGGAAGACGAGAGAGAACGCAGGCACCUGGACCUGCAGGACCUGGCCUGGACCCUGGAGCUUUAACUCCGUCCCAGUUCUGCUCCGUGUGGCUCCAUCUUCUCAUCUGUGCAAUGCCAGUGUCAGAGAAGAACAUCUCCACAGUCACCCACAUUGGCAAUUUUACAGCUGGAAGGAAAGGCAGCAUUUGUGAUGAGCCUUCAAGAAGCAUUAGGAAGCUGGCACAUGGAUGGUGGGAGAGCGUCCCAGGGCACACGUCAGCAGCUGCUGAGAUCAGCCCUGGAAAGACAGGCUGGAGCCAAGACAGGAAGAGGCUUGAACACUCAACCCGCGGGCUCACAGGUAACUUGGGCAACGAGCAUGGCUGGAGGUCUCUGAAUAGAGAAGUGUUAACAGACACCGACAGGCUUAACACACAAGCUUCCCAAGAAAGUUAACCAAAAAAAAGGCGUGCAUUGAUUCCAGCUUCAGCGCAUUUCCAUUUCAGUGAAUGUUUGAACUUGAGGAGAGAGUCCCUUCAUGCAGACAUCUGAGUAUUUCUGUGGAGGGAACACUUCCUACCACCCAAAUGGGGACAUGAGGAAGCACUGCUGCCUCCCUGGCAGGCCCCCUUUCAUUCAGAGGAUAUGGGCAGACCUCACUGAAGAGGCUGUAGCAGGGGUCGAGCAGGUGGUGCAGACAUCAGAGAGUUCACUCUAGAAUGCUGGAAACUCGCAGAGGAGGCUGCAGACCAGUCAGCGAUGGAGGGUGCACAGAGGGGACUCCUGCAACCCACCAGAUCACCAGCCAGGUGGCACACCCUGGAGUCUGAGACACACUAUGAAAAAGCAGGAGGCCGGGCGUGGUGGCUCACGCCUGUAAUCCCAGCGCCUUGGGAGGCCGAGGCGGGCGGAUCAUGAGAUCAGGAGAUCAACACCAUCCUGGCUAACACAGUGAAACCCCGUCUCUACUAAAAAUACAAACAAUUAUCAGGGCAUGGCGGCGGGCGCCUGUAGUCCCAGCUACUUGGGAGGCUGAGGCAGGAGAAUGGCGUGAACCCGGGAGGCGGAGCUUGCAGUGAGCUGAGAUUGCGCCACUACACUCCAGCCUGGGCGACAGAGUGAGACUCCAUCUCAAAAAAAAAAAAAAAAAAAACAAGAAAAACCGGGCGGGUCCCCUCUGCAUGGCUCGCAGGAGGCAGUCAAGCUUGCUGCAUUCUGCACUCCUCUGCCCCCCAGAGGACCUUAACACACCAUGUAUCAACAAUAAACAUGCCCUGCUCCAAAGAAUUACCUGAAAGCAGUUCUUGGGAAACCUAAAAAGUAUUCCCAGGAACACAAUGUUGUAAGAGAUGUGCACAGUCC